rnacentral:rRNA from 1 species
UACGAAGGUGGCAAGCGUUGUUCGGAUUUACUGGGCGUAAAGGGAGCGUAGGUGGUGCGGUAAGCCCUCCGGGAAAGCUUCAGGCUUAACCUGAAAAGGUCGGGGGGGACUGCCGCGCUAGAGGACGGGAGAGGAGCGCGGAAUUCCCGGUGUAGCGGUGAAAUGCGUAGAGAUCGGGAGGAAGGCCGGUGGCGAAGGCGGCGCUCGGGAACGUUUCUGACACUGAGGCUCGAAAGCGUGGGGAGAAAACAGG